GCCCUUUGUACCCAGGUACAGUUCAGCCUGGUCAUGCAUAUCCUGUUGGGGAGCAGCAGGGUCCAGCGUACCCGGGUGAUGGUCGCCCAGGCUACAUGGGUGUUGAUCCACGUGGCCAAGUAUUUUUGGAUCCAAACAGAAUUCCUGCCUUUCCUGCUCAGACUGGCCCAGGCCAAGAUGCCACCCCUUUCAGGAGUCGAGACUCUCUUACCUUUGUCCACCAAGUCUCAUCUGAAGCAAGUGAACUCAGGAGUGGAGCCCGGAGUGAGUCAGUGGAGAAACUGGCUCCUAACUUCCCCGUGGCUAUGGAAACGUUUCGUCUGAUGGGAGAAAUCAUCAGCCUCUAUGUAGAACUAAAGGAAAGGAUGAGGGAGCUGGAUGAGGAAAAACCUGGCCAAACGGACUUGGAGAAGAUACAGUACCUGUUCAUGCUGUUGGUCAAGAAGACCUUACCUCCUGACCUGGAAGAGCAGCUGAAGACCUUAAAGACCCUGACCAAAGAUGUUCGCCAGGAUAAAGCUAAAGUAUGUAAGGGAGGGUCAGCUCCUGGGCCUUGCAGAGUGAGUCAGAGUUCCUUCUGUCCACUCUUGGGUAGAUGAUGGUCCUUUGCCGCACACUGCUGUGUGACUGGGUCUUUGCCGUCCAUCAGUGAGGCGAUGCAGUUAGGAGGAAUCACCAUGUCCACUUCCUAGAUCUAAAAAGGACAGCCAAAGCUGUUGGUGUACUGUUGAAUAUGCAGUGG
rnacentral:lncRNA from 1 species